rnacentral:sRNA from 1 species
GCUGGGGGCAGUGGUGUACUCCUGUAAUCCCAGGGGCUUGGAGGCAGAGGCAGGAGGAUCAUGAGUUCAAAGCCAGCCUCAGCAAUUUAGCGAGGUACUAAGCAACUCAGUGAGACCCUGUUUCUA